GACGUAGGGCGCGAGCGUUGUCCGGAUUUAUUGGGCGUAAAGAGCUCGUAGGCGGUUCGUCGCGUCGGCUGUGAAAACACGGAGCUCAACUCCGGGCCUGCAGUCGAUACGGGCGGACUUGAGUGUUGCAGGGGAGACUGGAAUUCCUGGUGUAGCGGUGAAAUGCGCAGAUAUCAGGAGGAACACCGGUGGCGAAGGCGGGUCUCUGGGCAACUACUGACGCUGAGGAGCGAAAGCGUGGGGAGCGAACAGG
rnacentral:rRNA from 1 species